rnacentral:rRNA from 1 species
AUUGAACGCUGGCGGCAGGCCUAACACAUGCAAGUCGAGCGGAUGAAGGGAGCUUGCUCCUGGAUUCAGCGGCGGACGGGUGAGUAAUGCCUAGGAAUCUGCCUGGUAGUGGGGGAUAACGUCCGGAAACGGGCGCUAAUACCGCAUACGUCCUGAGGGAGAAAGUGGGGGAUCUUCGGACCUCACGCUAUCAGAUGAGCCUAGGUCGGAUUAGCUAGUUGGUGGGGUAAAGGCCUACCAGGGCGACGAUCCGUAACUGGUCUGAGAGGAUGAUCAGUCACACUGGAACUGAGACACGGUCCAGACUCCUACGGGAGGCAGCAGUGGGGAAUAUUGGACAAUGGGCGAAAGCCUGAUCCAGCCAUGCCGCGUGUGUGAAGAAGGUCUUCGGAUUGUAAAGCACUUUAAGUUGGGAGGAAGGGCAGUAAGUUAAUACCUUGCUGUUUUGACGUUACUAACAGAAUAAGCACCGGCUAACUUCGUG